CAAAGAAAAAGGAAAAAAUAGAAGAAAAAGAAAUAGACAAAAAACUGCUUGACCAUAAAUAUGGAGUGGCCACAGCGCUGUCGAGUGUAUGUAGGAAAAGGAGUGAGGCCAGCUGGACGGGACAAGAAACCUGUGUCCAGACAUUGCUCAAAGAGCAAAUCUUCAACAAACCUUUCCAGACCCUGCCUUAUAAUCGGCUAACACCAGUCUUUGGGAACAUUUGUUCACUUCCACAUUGUUCUCAUGCUCGC